rnacentral:rRNA from 1 species
UUGAACGCUGGCGGCAUGCCUACACAUGCAAGUCGAACGGCAGCACGGAGUAGCUUGCUACCUUGCUGGCGAGCUGGCGAACGGGUGAGUAAUAAUCUGGAAACGUGCCAGUCGAUGGGGGGAUAACGUAGCGAAACGUACGCUAAUACCGCAUACGAUCUGCGAUGACCAAAGAGGGGGACCGUACGGGCCUCUGCGCGAUCAGGAUGGGCCCAGAUGGGAUUAGGCUAGUAGGUGGGGUAACGGCUCACCUAAGCCGACGAUCCUGUAGCUGGUCUGAGAGGAUGACCAGCCACACUGGACUGAGACACGGUCCAGACUCCUACGGGAGGCAGCAGUGGGGAAUUUGGCACAAUGGGCGCAAGCCUGAUCCAGCCAUUCCGCGUGUAGGAUGAAGGCCCUUCGGGUUGUAAACUGCUUUGUCACGGGAACGGAAAAGGCUCUGAGUUAAUACCUGCAGCUGAUUGACGGUACCCGUCAGAAUAAGCACCGGCUAACUACGUGCCAGCAGCCGCGGUAAUACGUAGGGUGCGAGCGUUAAUCGGAAUUACUGGGCGUAAAGCGUGCGCAGGCGGUGAUGUAAGACAGGUGUGAAAUCCCCGGGCUUAACCUGGGAACUGCAUUUGUGACUGCAUCGCUGGAGUGCGGUAGAGGGGGGAUGGAAUUCCGGUGUAGCAGUGAAAUGCGUAGAUAUGCGGAGGAACAUCGAUGGCGAAGGCAAUCCCCUGGGCCUGUACUGACGCUCAUGCACGAAAGCGUGGGGAGCAAACAGGAUUAGAUACCCUGGUAGUCCACGCCCUAAACGAUGUCGACUGGUUGUUCGAGGUACUUCCUGGAAGUAACGUAAGCUAACGCGUGAAGUCGGCCGCCUGGGGAGUACGGUCGCAAGAUUGAAAACUCAAAGGAAUUGACGGGGACCCGCACAAGCGGUGGAUGAUGUGGAUUAAUUCGAUGCAACGCGAAAAACCUUACCUACCCUUGACAUGUCUGGAAUGCCGUAGAGAUAGUGCUAGUGCCUUCGAAGGGAGCCAGAACACAGGUGCUGCAUGGCUGUCGUCAGCUCGUGUCGUGAGAUGUUGGGUUAAGUCCCGCAACGAGCGCAACCCUUAGUCAUUCAGUUGCUACGCAAGGGCACUCUAAGAGACUGCCGGUGACAAACCGGAGGAAGGUGGGGAUGACGUCAAGUCCUCAUGGCCCUUAUGGGUAGGGCUUACACACGUCAUACAAUGGUCGGUACAGAGGGUUGCCAACCCGCGAGGUGGAGCCAAUCCCAUAAAACCGAUCGUAGUCCGGAUUGUUCGUCUGCAACUCGAGAUGCAGUGAAGUCGGAAUCGCUAGUAAUCGCGGAUCAGCAUGUCCGCGGUGAAUACGUUCCCGGGUCUUGUACACACCGCCCGUCACACCAUGGGAGUGGGUUUUACCAGAAGCAGCUAGCCUAACCGCAAGGAGGGCGGCUACCACGGUAGGAUUCAUGACUGGGGUG